UACGUAGGGUGCAAGCGUUAAUCGGAAUUACUGGGCGUAAAGCGUGCGCAGGCGGUUGUGCAAGACAGAUGUGAAAUCCCCGGGCUCAACCUGGGAACUGCAUUUGUGACUGCACGGCUAGAGUGUGUCAGAGGGGGGUAGAAUUCCACGUGUAGCAGUGAAAUGCGUAGAUAUCUGGAGGAAUACCGGUGGCGAAGGCGGCAUCCUGGACCGACAUUGACGCUGAUGAGCGAAAGCUAGGGGAGCAAACGGG
rnacentral:rRNA from 1 species